rnacentral:rRNA from 1 species
UACGUAGGCAGCGAGCGUUGUUCGGAAUUACUGGGCGUAAAGAGUGUGUAGGCGGUGCUCUAAGUUCGGUGUGAAAUCUCCUGGCUUAACUGGGAGGGUGCGCCGGAAACUGGAGUGCUCGAGCGUGGGAGAGGAAAGCGGAAUUCCUGGUGUAGCGGUGAAAUGCGUAGAUAUCAGGAGGAACACCUGCGGUGUAGACGGCUUUCUGGACGGUAACUGACGCUGAGGCACGAAAGCGUGGGUAGCAAACAGG